GACGAACGCUGGCGGCGUGCUUAACACAUGCAAGUCGAACGGAAAGGCCCUGCUUUUGUUGGGUGCUCGAGUGGCGAACGGGUGAGUAACGCGUGAGUAACCUGCCCUUGACUUGGGGAUAACUUCUGGAAACUGUGGCUAAUACCGCAUAAGAGCUCCUGCUGCAUGGUGUGGGUUGGAAAGGUUCGGCGGUUGGGGAUGGACUCGAGGCUUCUCCGCUUGUUGGUGGGGUAGUGGCUUACCAAGGCUUUGACGGGUAGCCGGCCUGAGAGGGUGACCGGCCACAUUGGGACUGAGAUACGGGCCAGACUCAUACGGGAGGCAGCAGUGGGGAAUAUUGCACACUGGGCGGAAGCCUGAUGCAGCAACGCCGCGUGCGGGAUGACGGCCUUCGGGUUGUAACCCGCUUUCGCCUGUGAAGAAGAGUGAGUGACGGUAAUGGGUAAAGAAGCACCGGCUAACUACGUG
rnacentral:rRNA from 1 species